rnacentral:rRNA from 1 species
AGCGAACGUUUGCGGCGGGCUUAACACAUGCAAGUCGAACGAGAAUCCCUUCGGGGAGGAAAGUGGCGCACGGGUGCGUAACACGUGGAUAACCAACCCAUUGGUUUGGGACAACACCGGGAAACUGGUGCUAAUACCAGAUGUGUCGCAGCUGUCUUCAGGCGGUUGCGAGAAAGGCCCGCAAGGGUCGCCAACGGACGGGUCCGCGUCCCAUCAGCUAGUUGGUGAGGUAAUGGCUCACCAAGGCAAAGACGGGUAGCUGGUCUGAGAGGAUGAUCAGCCACACUGGAACUGAGACACGGUCCAGACUCCUACGGGAGGCAGCAGUGGGGAAGUAUUGCGCAAUAGGGCGGAAAGACCUGACGCAGCACGCCGCGUGAGCGAUGAAGGUACGUUC